AUUGAACGCUGGCGGAAUGCUUUACACAUGCAAGUCGAACGGCAGCACGGGUGCUUGCACCUGGUGGCGAGUGGCGAACGGGUGAGUAAUACAUCGGAACGUACCCAGUCGUGGGGGAUAACGUAGCGAAAGUUACGCUAAUACCGCAUACGUCCUGAGGGAGAAAGCGGGGGACCGUAAGGCCUCGCGCGAUUGGAGCGGCCGAUGGCGGCUUAGCUAGUUGGUGGGGUAAAGGCCUACCAAGGCGACGAUCCGUAGCGGGCGUGAGAGGACGGCCCGCCACACUGGAACUGAGACACGGUCCAGACUCCUACGGGAGGCAGCAGUGGGGAAUUUUGGACAAUGGGCGAAAGCCUGAUCCAGCCAUUCCGCGUGGGUGAAGAAGGCCUUCGGGUUGUAAAGCUCUUUCGGCAGGGAAGAAACGGCUUGGGAUAAUACCCCGGGCUAAUGACGGUACCUGAAGAAGAAGCACCGGCUAACUACGUGCCAGCCGCCGCCGUAA
rnacentral:rRNA from 1 species